CACGGGGGGAGCAAGCGUUGUUCGGAAUCACUGGGCGUAAAGGGCGUCUAGGCGGUCAGGUAAGUGAGAUGUGAAAUGCCCCGGCUCACCCGGGGACCGGCAUCUCAUACUGCUUGGCUUGAGUACGGGAGAGGAUGUGGGAAUUCCUGGUGUAGCGGUGAAAUGCGUAGAUAUCAGGAGGAACACCGGUGGCGAAGGCGCACAUCUGGCCCGAUACUGACGCUAAAGCGCGAAAGCUAGGGGAGCAAACGGG
rnacentral:rRNA from 1 species